GCUUAGCAUGAAGUGAAGCACAUACACCUGCUGAAUUUAAGCAUAUAAGUAAGUGGUGGAAAUUAAACCAAAUGGGAUAUCUUUAGUAAUUGCGAAUGAACAAGGAUAUGCUUAGCUUGACAAAUGGAGCUAUUGGCUUUGAAUUGUAUUUGUGGAAUGUAUUACCAACAGAGGUGCAGGUGCCAGCCUAUUAAAUAAAGCGUCAAUGAGGGUGAGAAUCCUGUUUGUCAUGUGCAGCCCUUUGUGCACGGUGUAUAUUUGCUGAGUCACACUCCUUGGCAUUGGAAUGCAAAGUGGGUGGUAAGUUUCAUGUAAAGGUAAACAUGCAAUUGAGACUGAUAGCACACAAGUACCAUGAGGGAAAUAUGAAAAGGACUUUGAAAAGAGAAUUAAAUGAGUUUGUAUUUGCUGAACACAAAGUAAACAGACUUGAUUUGCUUGGUGGGAGUGUUGCACUUGCUUGACAAGAGCUUUGGGCUGUGGGUGUAAUGAUUCUUUCUUUGCAUGCCAGUUUCUAUUUGUACAUCUGAUUACCUUUGCACAUGAAUGAUAAGUCUCCUGUGGGGGGUGGAUUGCAUGUGCAUGUAAUGAUUUGUGUUUUGAUAAAUGUGUCUGGUGUAUGUGUGUGUUCCUGUGCUUGGGGAUGCUUCCUUCCUUGGACUUACAAGCCCUGACACACACAUGCUGGCAAAAUGCUUCUGCUUGACCCGUCUUGAAACACGGACCAAGGAGUCUAACAGAUGUGCAAAGUUUGAAGGUGGUAUACCUUUGUGUGCAAUGAAAGUGUCAGCUGGGAUAUGUGCACCAGCACCCAAUUAAUUAGCGGACAGAGGUUUGAGUUGGAGCAUAUCUAUUAGGACCCGAAAGAUGGUGAACUAUGCCUGAACAGAAUGAAUUCAGAGGAAACUCUGAUGGAGGUUCGUAUCGAUACUGACGUGCAAAUCGUUCGUAAGGGCGAAUU
rnacentral:rRNA from 1 species